rnacentral:rRNA from 1 species
AGAGAUGUGUGAUGACGCAUAUCAAUAAGCGGAGGAAAAGAAACUAACAAGGAUUCCCCUAGUAACGGCGAGUGAAGCGGGAAGAGCUCAAAUUUGAAAUCUUCAAGGUUCUACCUUGACGAAUUGUAGUUUAUAGAAGUGUUUUCUGUUAGUAGAGUGGUAAAAGUUCUUUGGAAUAGGACAUCAUAGAGGGUGAGAAUCCCGUAUUUGACCAUUAUUUCCAACUUUGUGAUACACUUUCAAAGAGUCGGAUUGUUUGGGAAUGCAGUCCAAAAUGGGUGGUAAAUUUCAUCUAAAGCUAAAUACUGGCGAGAGACCGAUAGCGAACAAGUACCGUGAGGGAAAGAUGAAAAGAACUUUGAAAAGAGAGUUAAACAGUACGUGAAAUUGUCAAAAGGGAAGCGUUUGACACCAGUGUUGUUUUCUCGAAAAUCAAUUAAAAAUGGUGGGAUGUUGUGUUGUAUUGACUUUAUCAGCUUUCUGCACUUUUUUUCCUAUCUUUUUUAAUGCACUUUUCGUUUAACAAGUCAACAUCAAUUUCUUUUGUUGUAAAAGAGUAUGAGGAAGGUGGCUUUCUUUUCGGAGAAAGUGUUUAUAGCCUUGGACCUCUGCAAUCGGAGAGAUUGAGGUCUGCAGCGUAGAUCCUUCGGGGUUAGAUAGCAUUUGUGCUAAGUUAUAGCUUUUCAUAGACAACUUGUUGACUAUGAUUAGUCAUUGUAGCUUACUCGCUUAUGUCUAUCUUACCUACGCUUAGGAUGUUGACGAUCAGCUGAGCGCG